rnacentral:rRNA from 1 species
AUUUGCCUUUAGGAGGGGGACAACAACUGGAAACGGUUGCUAAUACCCCAUAUGCUUUCGAGUGAAAUGGAUUUCCGCCUAGAGAGAAGCUUGCGGCUGAUUAGCUUGUUGGUGAGGUAAUGGCUCACCAAGGCGACGAUCAGUAUCUGGUUUGAGAGGACGAUCAGACGCACUGGAACUGAGACACGGUCCAGACUCCUACGGGAGGCAGCAGUAGGGAAUUUUCCGCAAUGGGCGAAAGCCUGACGGAGCAAUACCGCGUGAGGGAUGACUGCCUAUGGGUUGUAAACCUCUUUUUUCAGGGAGGAAUAAAUGACGUGUACCUGAAGAAUAAGCAUCGGCUAACUCCGUGCCAGCAGCCGCGGUAAGACGGAGGAUGCAAGUGUUAUCCGGAAUCACUGGGCGUAAAGCGUCUGUAGGUGGCUCGAUAAGUCAACUGUUAAAUCUUGAAGCUCAACUUCGAAAUCGCAGUCGAAACUAUCGGACUAGAGUAUAGUAGAGGUAAAGGGAAUUUCCAGUGGAGCGGUGAAAUGCGUAGAUAUUGGAAAGAACACCGAUGGCGAAGGCACUUUACUGGGCUAUUACUGACACUCAGAGACGAAAGCUAGGGUAGCAAAUGG